rnacentral:lncRNA from 1 species
GGGUCCUACAAUCCAUUUAUUAGUCUAGUAAAAACAAGGCUGCAAAGGGAUGUGUUUGCUACACCUGACACGGGGAGGAGCCACAGGCUCUGCCAGGCUUGGCCAAGCCUCUGCAGGAACCCUGACUGGCAUCCCUCCCACCCCACCCUUCUGUCCCCUUAUUGCAGUGGCUAUGCCAGCGGUGACUGUGGCUAUUGCUCAGCUCUAGGAAAGGCAAGGCAGAGCCCUCCAAAACCCACAGCACCCACUGGCAGGGUAGGGGAUGCAGCUGUCAGGCUUGCAGACAAGCCAGAUGACAGCAUCCCUCUCCACAGAGCCACUGUGAUCCCCAGGGAACAGGCAGGGUCAAAGAACUUUCAAAGCUAUUUGUCCAGGCACCCUCAUCUCCCCAGGAAAACCCACACCAGGCUGCUCUCAGCGGGACCAGGGGUGCCUGCAAGGGCACAUCUGCUGCUCACAGGCAGGGUGAAUACUACGGCUGACCUCGGCUGGAAGCAGGCUGGGGGGAGGGCAGGGAUAUGCACCCAGCGAGGAGGAGGGUCGUUUGCCUAGCAGCGUUGGUGCUAAUGCUGCAGGGGACUGACAGACAGGCCGGGGAUGAUCAGGCAGACCGUGCAGGCCUUCUUGUGCCUCAUUAAAUCCGCUGCUUGGUCAGACAUCUGCCAAAGGCCCACCUGAGGCUGAGGGCACAUGGCACCCAGGGCCACCCCCGCGCAUCUGGACUGGCAACACCCUGCUCUGCCAGCAGGGCUGGGGCUGCUCAGGUUUCCCUGGGCAUACCCUGCCAUGGGGCAGCCAGCCUGCUCAGGAAGAAGCACUUGUGCCAGUCCUGCUGCCUCCCUUCUCCAGACGCCCAACCAGCUUUGCUCAGGUCUGUCACAUCGUGUCACUGUCCCAGGCCAUGAGCACCAGAGAAGAGCACACAAGCUCUUCCCAAACGAGGGGUGCGCUUGAAGGCAGAGCUCUUACUGUGCUCAGUGGCCGCUGGGACAGGCAUGACUGUCCCUAUAGCAUAUCCCACCUAGUUGUCCCUCUAUCCCCAUCAUCACUGUGGGCACUCGCAGGAACGUCACACACCAAAACCACAAAGGCAAAGGACUGUGCUCCCCAUCACAGCCCCUGUAAGCAGUUGGGUGUCCCCUCAGCUUUCAUUGUGCCUGGUCCAGCACUCGAGUCGCAGCACAGGCAUCCAGUCUGGCAACUCCUUUGACACAGCCGGAUACCCCAGUCCCCAGGCAGAUCAAGGCUGCAGCAGGUACUUCUCUUCAUUCCUUGAUUCAUCCACAUCAGAAGCUGGGGUCUUCUUGGGACAUGAGGGGGUCCUGCAGGCUUUGCAGAG